AGUGCAUCACCGCAGGCGGGCCUCGCGGGUCCGGGAGCGCGGCGGAGACGAUGCCUGAGAUCAGAGUCACGCCCUUGGGUGCCUGCCCUUCCUGUGGAAGGGUCCUGGUCCUUCCACCGGGCAGGGGGUCGAGGGCACCUUCCAGCACAGACACCAGGACGGGAUUCCAUGUCCUUCCCCAUGGCGAGAGCGCUUCUUCGGAGGGUGCCCCCUGCCCCGGUGUGGACACUGUGCUGUGAACACCCCUGGCCUGUGCACACCCCAUGGCAUUUUGCAGCUGUUUGCAUGGGCCCCACUGCCCUCCCCUGCUCUCUGCAUCCUCCGUGGGGUCCUCCCAGCCUGCCCCUUUCCCAUUUGGCCUCUUGGCUGCCUGUUCUGCCCACUCUCUGGACAUCUGAUCUUUCUGAUCUUUCAUGUGGCUUCAAUUACCCCCAAUCUGUACCUGGGUAUAUUCUCAAGGUCACCUCAGCCAAGGUAUCAUCAAAGCCAAAGUCCUGUUUCACCGCUUCCCUGCACCAGGGACUGCCUCGGGCUCCGUGUCCGUGCUCACUGGACCACUGCUGUGUCCUUGGGGUCACUCCCACGCCUUGGCCUG
rnacentral:sRNA from 1 species